UCGGGGUAGUCCCCGAACAGGAACUGGCGGAUGAUGGCCGUCUUGCCCACGCCCGGGGCCCCCAGCACGGCCACCCGCAGGCUGCCCCCCAUGGCCCGCGCCGCCGUGCGCCCCGCGCGGGGGCCUCAUGGGCCGGCGCCGCCGGCAGCGCCCAGGCCCACGCC